rnacentral:tRNA from 1 species
GCGGGAGUAGCUCAGUUGGUAGAGCGUCUCCCUUCCAAGGAGAAGGUCGCGAGUUCGAUCCUCGUCUCCCGCUCCG